rnacentral:rRNA from 1 species
CAAUGAAUGUACCAUGCAAGAAAGGAUCGGCUAACUUCGUGCCAGCAGCCGCGGUAAGACGAGGGAUCCUAGCGUUGUUCGGAAUCAUUGGGCGUAAAGCGGGUGUAGGUGGGCUUCUAAGUCAGAUGUGAAAUCCCAGGGCUCAACCCUGGAAGUGCAUUUGAUACUGGAAGUCUUGAGUGUGGUAGAGGUUACUGGAAUUGUUGGUGUAGUGGUGAAAUACGUAGAUAUCAACAGGAAUACCGGAGGCGAAGGCGAGUAACUGGGCCAACACUGACACUGAGACCCGAAAGCGUGGGGAUCAAACAGGAUUAGAUACCCUGGUAGUCCACGCCAUAAACGAUGGAUACUUGUUGUUAGAGGUAUUGACCCCUCUAGUGACGUAGCUAACGCGUUAAGUAUCCCGCCUGGGGAGUACGGUCGCAAGAUUAAAACUCAAAGAAAUUGACGGGGGCCCGCACAAGCGGUGGAGCAUGUGGUUUAAUUCGAUGCAACGCGAAGAACCUUACCUAGGCUUGACAUGGACUGGAAGACUGGCAGAAAUGUCGUCGCUCGCAAGAGUCGGUUCACAGGUGCUGCAUGGCUGUCGUCAGCUCGUGUCGUGAGAUGUUGGGUUAAGUCCCGCAACGAGCGCAACCCUUACCUUUAGUUGCCAGCAUUUAGUUGGGCACUCUAGAGGGACUGCCUGCGUUAAGCAGGAGGAAGGUGGGGAUGACGUCAAGUCCUCAUGGCCCUUAUGCCUAGGGCUACACACGUGCUACAAUGGUGGUCACAGAGCGAAGCAAAGCCGCGAGGUGGAGCAAAUCGCUUAAAAGCCAUCUAAGUUCAGAUCGUAGUCUGCAACUCGACUACGUGAAGUUGGAAUCGCUAGUAAUCGCGGAUCAGAAUGCCGCGGUGAAUACGUUCCCGGGCCUUGUACACACCGCCCGUCACACCAUGAAAGUUGGUUUUACCAGAAGUCGCUGUGCUAACCGCAAGGAGGUAGGCGCCCAAGGUAAGGUCGAUGAUUGGGGUGAAGUCGUAACAAGGUAACC